rnacentral:rRNA from 2 species
UCUCGGCAACGGAUAUCUUGGCUCACGCAUCGAUGAAGAACGUAGCAAAAUGCGAUACUUGGUGUGAAUUGCAGAAUCCCGUGAACCAUCGAGUUUUUGAACGCAAGUUGCGCCCGAAGCCAUUCGGCCGAGGGCACGUCUGCCUGGGCGUCACGCAUCGC